GGAUGAGCACUAAGUUGACUCCAGCACUCAGCUCUGCUGUUCCUUUUCCGACUGGCCUUGGCAAUUACAGUCUCUUCAUUUAAUUUCAAUGGAAACUUUAGCGUUUUAGACCUUGCCCAUGUAGCUGAAUGCUCAUCUCUGGAUCUUAUUUCCAGUCCUCAGGAGGACUGGUUUUGAUGACCUAGUCUGAUUACAGCAUCUUUGACAGCUUUAAAGGAAUUUGCUCUGGGGAAGGAGACAGCUGCUGCUCUGAUGAAGGAUUUUUCUGAGCAGGCCUCCCAAGCUAGAUAUGUCAGCGUGAGAUGCUGCCUACGUUUUUCACUGUGACCAACAGGUUGUUAGACUGCAAUCAAAAGCAGUUGGUAGGAAUGGAGCUGUCCCUGUUAUGAGAUUUGAACUCCUGGCAUCUUUAUCCACUGGAACCUGAGUGCCCAGGACACACUAGAGAGGGAAUUUUGACAGCAUUUCACAAGUCCUGCAGCUGUGAGCCGGUUUCAGCAUGAGG
rnacentral:lncRNA from 1 species